GAUGAACGCUGGCGGCGUGCCUAAUACAUGCAAGUCGAGCGAACGGACGAGAAGCUUGCUUCUCUGAUGUUAGCGGCGGACGGGUGAGUAACACGUGGAUAACCUACCUAUAAGACUGGGAUAACUUCGGGAAACCGGAGCUAAUACCGGAUAAUAUUUUGAACCGCAUGGUUCAAAAGUGAAAGACGGUCUUGUUGUCACUUAUAGAUGGAUCCGCGCUGCAUUAGCUAGUUGGUAAGGUAACGGCUUACCAAGGCAACGAUGCAUAGCCGACCUGAGAGGGUGAUCGGCCACACUGGAACUGAGACACGGUCCAGACUCCUACGGGAGGCAGCAGUAGGGAAUAUUCCGCAAUGGGCGAAAGCCUGACGGAGCAACGCCGCGUGAGUGAUGAAGGUCUUCGGAUCGUAAAACUCUGUUAUUAGGGAAGAACAUAUGUGUAAGUAACUGUGCACAUCUUGACGGUACCUAAUCAGAAAGCCACGGCUAACUACGUG
rnacentral:rRNA from 1 species